AAUACGGCGAGUGAACAGGGAGAAGCCCAAAUUUGUAAUCUGGCACUUUUUACGAGUGUCCGAGUUGUAAUUUGUAGAGCUGUUAUCCGUACUGGACCAUGUACAAGUCUGUUGAAAAGCAGCAUCGUUGAAGGUGAAAAUCCUGUAGAUGAUAUGGACUACCAGUAUAUUUGUGAUACGGUUUCUAAGAGUCGAGUUGUUUGGGAAUGCAGCUCAAAGUGGGUGGUAAAUUCCAUCUAAGGCUAAAUAUAAGUGAGAGACCGAUAGCAAACAAGUACCGUGAGGGAAAGAUGAAAAGAACUUUGAAAAUAGAGUUAACAGUACGUGAAAUUGCUGAAAGGGAAACGUUUGAAGUUAGUUUUGUAUUCGUCGGAUCAGCUUCGCAAGGAGUGUAUUCUGAUGAUAAGCAAGUCAACAUCAGUCUAUGAGUGUCGGAGAAGGGUUUUGAGAACGUAGCAAUUUAGUUGUGUUAUAGCUUGAGACUUGGAUACGGUGCUUUGGAUUGAGGAACGCGUAGUAAGCUUUGAGCGGAUUCGAAAGGAUCUCCUUACUAUGGAUGUUGGUGAAAUAACUUUAAGCGACCCGUCUU
rnacentral:rRNA from 1 species